CACGCCAUAAACGAUGAGUGCUAGGUGUUGGGGGUCAAACCUCGGUGCCGCAGUUAACGCAUUAAGCACUCCGCCUGGGGAGUACGUUCGCAAGAAUAAAACUCAAAGGAAUUGACGGGGACCCGCACAAGCAGCGGAGCAUGUGGUUUAAUUCGAUGCAACGCGAAGAACCUUACCAGGGCUUGACAUAUAUGCGCUAGCACUAGAGAUAGUGGGUUCUCUUCGGAGACGUAUAUACAGGUGG
rnacentral:rRNA from 1 species